UUAAACUUCAGAAGAAUGGACAAGAUUUUUCUCCAGCACUGUCAAUCAUUACUGUCAGACUUCAGGAAGAUUUAUCGAGAUCCGGGGAUAACUGACCUGCGUAUAGUGUGUGCUGGGGGAGAACAGGUUUACUCAAACUCGCUUCUGCUCGCGUCCUGCAGCGCAUUAAUCCAGGGUUCUCUGCUUCGGACUGACUCAACCCUCCUGACCGAACCUAAUCUGGAGUAUUGUAUCCUUAUCCCGGACGUAUCUGCGGAGCACCUGGAGAUAUUCCUUGAAAACCUGCUCCAGUGGGAGAAGGUUCCAAGACAGUCCGAGAUACAAGUUCUUGCAAGAAUUGGGCAAACCUUGGGAGUCAAGGCAAACCUUGUAGGGUUCGAGAAACCUAUUCCUCUAGUUCUAGAUUAUUCCUCGGCCACUGUUGGGUUCGAGAAACCUAUUCCUCUAGUUCUAGAUUAUUCCUCGGCCACUCUUAAAGAAGAUGAAUCCCGCAAUGAAAAGCUAGAGUUUAUUCUUCCUAAAAGAAAAAAAACACCGCACCAACGAACCAUUUACCAAUGUGACAAAUGCCAAAAACAGUUUGGCUUGAAACGAAACUUUAUGCAUCACAUCAACUCCCAUUUGGGAAUCAAGCCUUACGCCUGUACUCAGUGUGAUAAACGAUUUGUCCAAAGAUGUCAUAUGAAUACACAUAUGAAGAUUUUACACUCUGGUUUGAAACCGUACAUCUGCCAUAAAUGCGGGAAAUCAUUUGCUGUGAGCAGCAAUCUCAAGAAGCAUGCCGCAACUCAUGGUAGAGAGGAGGAGGAGGAGGAGGAGGGGGAGAGGGUUAACGAUCCAAAAUGGAAGGAUGUGAUUGAAUUUAAUAAUUCUGUUAUCGAACUAUCCUCGUUAAACGGAGCCAACUCCGACCCCCCCGCGGAGAAACCUGAUUCCGAUCCUCAGUCUCGGGUAUAUAUCUCCGCCAGUGAGAAAUCUCAACUGGAGUCAACAAAUUUUGAAAUAUCUCAAAUUGAUUGUUCCGAAUCUGGCGGCGGGGAGGUUUUCUCCGCCAGCGACCAGUUGCUAAUGCUUGAUUCUUUCCAGGAGACUUACAGUGAGGGAUUUUCUGGUGACUCUAAGGCAGAGAACUCUGAUCCUGUGUAUCCCUUUACGAUCUGCAACAAAACGUUUGCCUCAAAAUCAAAAUUGGAAUUACACACAGUCAGUCACACAGUAAACAAGCUGUUUACGUGUACCCACUGUGGGAAAAAGUUUAAACAAAAAUCCCAUUUAAACCAUCAUAUCAAGCUGAAGCACUCAGACGGAGCCUUUGACAGCAAAUACAAAUGUGAUAUUUGUGGAAAAUGUUUGACGAGUAAUUAUAGUUUGAAGAAGCACAAGAUGCUGCACUGGGAUAACAAACCGUUUGUUUGCCUGGUUUGCGGGAAAAGAUUUGUUCAGAAUUCACAUCUUACUCUUCAUGUUCAGAAGCAUUCAGGGAUUCGGUCUCAUCUGUGUAUUGAGUGUGGGAAAUCCUUUACAACGAAGGGACAUCUGAAAGAACACAUGAAGUUUCACACUGGGGAGAGAAAGGUGUAUGAAUGCAUGGAAUGUAAAGCUCAAUACUUCGGUCUACAUGAUUUAAAGGUUCAUAUGAGAAAGCAUAGUGGCGAGAUGCCGUUUUCAUGUAGUCAUUGCCCUAAAAGAUUCCGUUCCAUGAGAAACCUGGAGAACCACUCGAGAAUCCAUACUGGAGAGAAACCGUUCAAGUGCCGAACCUGCGGCCGGAGAUUUACAACCUCCUCCGGACUCUGUCAGCACUUUAAGAAGAGCUCCGGGUGCCGGAGAAACCUAGAGGAUACAACAGGGUCAUAUACAGCCAACCUAGAGGAGUUUUCAGAUACUCAGAUCAGGACCUGCAUAAUCCUGAUUAUCCUGAUUCCGUUGUAAAUGCGUGUAAAAAUAGCAAUAAACUCUACGUUUUCCUGCAAUCUUCACGUCUCCAGUGAGUCCGUUGACUUGAAUGGGAAGACUGUUUCUGGGUUCGACUCUUUAAAUCCUGUUCCUGGGUCUAUUAUCUAUGCCUUAAACCAGG
rnacentral:misc_RNA from 1 species